UCAAAAUUAUAUUUACACACAUGAUAUCAAGAAAAGUCUACUAGUGAAUCAAUCGUCAGUGUUAAAUGUAUAAAUUUAGGUAUAUAAAGCUUCUUUCGAAUCAUAAGUUCAUCAGUUCUCAAUAUUUUUACUGUAAUACAGUUAAUCAUCUAUCUAUAAAGCGUGAAAAAAUGAAGUUCAUUUCUUUAUAUUUCAUCUUGUCCCUCUUGAGCAUUCUCAUUUGUCCAUCUUUGCAGAUACAGUGCUCUGAAAUUGAACGUUGCCCAGCAGCCUUUCAACAAUGUGUUGGGAUUUCUCCCAAAACGAAAAUGGGUACGUGUUUGCCUGAUGAACCUGCUUCAUAAUGAACAAGUAAAUAUGGUGGAGUUUGAAACGGAAUAAUUGUUUGCUCUUCAUCUCAAUGUAUCGAAAAUUACAAACAAAGAAAUGAUUAAACUAAUUCCUUUUAUGCAAAUGA